rnacentral:lncRNA from 1 species
UUUUUUUUCUUUUUAAUAGUAAACCUCUUUACAACAAAUAUAGUGAAAGAGUUUCCAAACAAAACUCAUAAGAAUUUCUCAUGGUAAUUAUUAUUAUUAUCAUUUUUUUUAUAUAUUUUUUUUUGUCUUAUUGUGGAAUAUACAAUAACGCAUCACCAUACAGCACAAAAAAAGGAAUAUUGAAAAAACGAAAUAGACGUCUCAACCACGUGCUGCAGUCCCUGGGAAGGAGCCACUGAUUGUCAAGGGAGCGAAGUAGGGAGGGAACGGGGACAGGGAGUGGGGGUGACAUCCCCAGGGCGCGGGAGGUUCUCGGUCAGGCCAGAGCCCGAGGGUUGCAAACACUUCAGAGAAAGAUGGAAUUAGGCAAAAAUCCCGGUUAAAAUAUUACAAACUCCACAUAAAGCCUCCCUCCCCUCGCACUGCUGCUGCUGGGCACUGAGAGCUGGGAUGGGAGGGAGCCCUGGUCCCUGUGCUCCGGCUGGGGACGGGGGCAGCUGCCCCACAACUGCCCCAAAACUGCCCCAAAACUGCCCCACAGCUGCCCCACAGCUGCCCCACGGCUGCCCCACGGCUGCCCCGAGCUGCCAGCCCUGGCCACCAAAUCCCUUGACUCGCACACACACACACACCCACACACACGGGUGGAGGAGCAUCAGGAAAAAAAAAAAAGAGGUUAAAAAUAUAUAUAUAUAUAUAUAUAUAUAUUAUAGAUACAGUUUCUCUUUUUUUUUGUUGUUUUUCCCUUUUAAAUUGCUUCUCAAAACAAUAAAUAAAACUCCUCGGGGGAAGUGCACGUCCUGGUUUGUUUCUACCUGUGCAGCAGCCUGGGGGGAGGAUGCAGAGCUGCCUGUGGGGCUGAGCGGGGACAUCCAAGGAACCAUCACACAGAGAAGCUGAGGGGAAAGGGGCAUUUAUGAUUUUUUUUUUUUUUCCUUUUAGUGCAUCAUUUCAAGGGUUUAUUCUAUUUUACAAAAGUUUUUGCAGACACCCCAGGUUUGCUAACACCUACCUGCAUAACUGAGCUACGGGGAGCAAAGGGGAUGGGGGAGAAUGGAGGAGGAGGGAGCAGCAGCUGGGCCACCACGAUCCCCACUUCUCCAGCAUCAGAUUUGCCUGCAAAUGCUUGGAAAGAGCCGUGGGGAGGAGGGGAGUCAUGGCCCAAGGUGGGGCUGCUUCACCUCCCAGCCUCGGAGAUGCCAGGAGCCCAUGGGGACAUCCCAGCAUGGUCCCAGGAGAGGGUUUGGGGAUGCUCCUGCGGCUCUGUGGUGGGUUCCUGCCUGGAGAAGGAGGAGCUGGGCCAGCACCAGCAUGAAAAUCUCACUCUGAACACCCAUUUGAAGUGAAGAAAAUCCCUCUCUGCAUCUCACCCUCAUGGCCUGGGGUGGGUGCGGGGGGCUGGGGGAGACACAGCCGCCCAUCCCCACCCAGGGACAGUCGGGCUGGGGGUAUUGUCAACCCCUCAUUCCCCAAAA